rnacentral:rRNA from 1 species
AUUGAACGCUGGCGGCAUGCCUUACACAUGCAAGUCGAACGGUAACAGGUCUUCGGAUGCUGACGAGUGGCGAACGGGUGAGUAAUACAUCGGAACGUGCCUAGUAGUGGGGGAUAACUACUCGAAAGAGUGGCUAAUACCGCAUGAGUUCUACGGAUGAAAGCAGGGGAUCGCAAGACCUUGUGCUACUAGAGCGGCCGAUGGCAGAUUAGGUAGUUGGUGGGAUAAAAGCUUACCAAGCCGACGAUCUGUAGCUGGUCUGAGAGGACGAUCAGCCACACUGGGACUGAGACCCGGCCCAGACUCCUACGGGAGGCAGCAGUGGGGAAUUUUGGACAAUGGGCGCAAGCCUGAUCCAGCAAUGCCGCGUGCAGGAUGAAGGCCUUCGGGUUGUAAACUGCUUUUGUACGGAACGAAAAGCCCUGGGUUAAUACCCUGGGGUCAUGACGGUACCGUAAGAAUAAGCACCGGCUAACUACGUGCCAGCCGCCGCAGUAAAAC